rnacentral:lncRNA from 7 species
GGGCGCGAGAGUAUAUAAUCCUGGUGCAGGCCGUUCUCAGUCCUUUCUCGCUUCAUCCGCGGUCCCUGUCUGUUUUCGUUAUGGCGCCUUGUACUUCUACCCAACGUUGCCCGCCCCCCAUCUUCCCAGCCCACCAGCUCCGUCCGCCUCUCCGGAUGAUUCGUGAGAUACCGAGCCUGCCGGGAAGGGACCGGAUUUUUCCGUCUGGUCCAAGGAAGCACGGGUUAUGGCCACAUGCGCAGUGAUAACUCAGGGCCCCACGCCUUUUGACCCCUGUUGAUGAAGAUUGUGAGGAGGGAGACCAGAAGAUAAUGGACAACGAUACAGCAGAAGGGUCUGGUUACACUUGAGCUUAUUUCUUGGAAGAGUCUGAGAAGACGGCCUGUCAGGCUCCUAACACUAAGGUAAUUGCUGGCUAAGACAGCCUGACCCUCCGGUUUCCCUUUCCCAUCGGAUCUUGACGCUGGUCUUGGUGGUCGUUAAGGAGGAAGAGCACCCUGAAGCUGGCCUCACAGCGAUGCAGUCUGCUGUAGAGCAGCAGGCCAGACUCAGACAUGCCUGGGCUUUGAAGUGGGAAAACUUGAGAACUGAUCAGUAUUGCUGAGUAAUGGCUUACUUUCAUGGUUUUUUUUUUUUAAGGGCCAUGUAACCAGUGAAGCAGCCAUUAUAUAUGAUUUGGUCUACACUUGUUGGGUAAGCUUAAGGAUUGUUAACCCUUUUCCUAAGUAGUAUAGCAGAAAUUCAGGUUUGCAUAGUGGCUAGCCAUCUAUAAGCCACCUCCAUAAUUUAUGUCUGAACUAGUUAGCUGUUCACAUCUGGGGCAAAGAUGUGUGCCAUGUUGGCUGGUAUUUGUCAAUUGAACAUUGCAUGAGUACAGACACUGGUCCAUGAUGAAACCCAUUAUCAGUGGACAUCUAUGGAUGAGAAAUGCGGAUAUGGGACUGAGACCAGUUCUUAGGAAAGCCUGAGUUGGGGAAUGAGCCUGAAGGUGGAACUAACAUAGACUUGCACUUCCUUUUCAGAAAAAUUCCACAAGAGGAUCUCCUGGAAGCUAGCAGAAGUUUUUGGCUUGUACAUUGCCAGGCAGCCAUUGGAAUCGGAGCUGCAGUCAGAUUAAGGCCAGCCUGGCCUACAUUGAGAAACCUCAUUUUGGGAAAGUGAAAUACUUUGUCAAUUAACAUGCAGUUGGUUCAAUAAAGACUUUUGGAAAGUG